GCUGGGUGUGGUGGUGCACACCUGUAAUCCAGUGGCUCGGGAGGCUGAGGCAGGAGGAUCACAAGUCCAAAGCCAGGCUCAGCAACUUAACAAGGCCCUGAGCAACUUAGUAAGACCCUAUCCCAA
rnacentral:sRNA from 1 species